rnacentral:rRNA from 1 species
UACGGAGGAUGCGAGCGUUAUCCGGAUUUAUUGGGUUUAAAGGGUGCGUAGGCGGAUCGUUAAGUCAGUGGUCAAAUUGAGGGGCUCAACCCCUUCCCGCCAUUGAAACUGGCGAUCUUGAGUGGAAGAGAAGUAUGCGGAAUGCGUGGUGUAGCGGUGAAAUGCAUAGAUAUCACGCAGAACCCCGAUUGCGAAGGCAACAUGCCGGCUUCCGACUGACGCUGAAGCACGAAAGCGUGGGGAUCGAACAGG